GGUGGCGAUUGACUCCUGUGGUCUCGGAUUUCUUCACUGCCCGCGGGUUUUGUGGCAGGGUGAUCCAAUGAAGUCCAGUGGAUUGUGGUGCUUUCUUUUCUUGCUUGGAAUAUGCUUGUUGAUGGCUGAAGGAUGGUUAGAAAGAAAAGCCACUGGAAAGCAGCCACCUGGAGACAGACAGGAGCAAGCAGAAGCUUCAGAUGUGAUUAAGAAAAAAGGUAA